AAGUGGUGUGUUGUAUGACAACAGCUUUUUAAAGAUCACUUCAAUGGUUGUAACACGCAUUAAAUUACACUGUUGGCCAAUCUGUCCAUGAUUAUUUCAUUAUCUUAUGUUUCAAACAGACAAGGAAAUAUUGGUGAUGCAAUGAAGAGUUUGAUUCUCAAAUAUAAUUGUUGUUAUAGCUUCCGCUUGGAAGAAAGAUUCACAUCAAAUUGACUGGUCAAGGAAAUGGGACACUGACUUAAUUGCAUGACAGUUUGACUGGUUCGUUGAGAGUGAGGAACCUAUGGACUCUCAGACACCAAGAUGGAAUUUAGUUCAAAGAGUGACUUCAAAAUGUUCCGCAAGUUUUAGCGUAAACUGGUGGAGACUUUCGGUGCUUGCAAAAAGGCUCACCUCUCCGUUCAUACCGAAGGAAAAUUGGAGUUUAAAAAACCAUACGAUGAGACUGUUUUGAUGAGGAAUUUAAAGAUUACGAGUCGUGUCCGUUUGACUCACAGUUUGGUACCAUAGGUUGGUACGAUCUUCGUUGGAGAAGGAAAAGGGAUGUUCCAGAUCCAGAAAAUCGUCAAACCAUUUACUACAAAGUCCGUUUCUGGGUGGAGUUAGUGGAACCGAAAAAGAUGUCUCCCUCACAGCGUUUGUGACACAAGAAUUGCAUCGUUCCUUGGCGGCCUUUCAACAGAAGAAUAUUCAGAGAUUUCCCGAGUGAUUGUGAUGUCGGUUCCUGGAAAGCCUCCAUUGUUGGAGGACGAGAAGCCGUAUCCAAUUGAAGCAGCACAGGCUUUUGCGAUGACUGUGGAAACCACUGCUUAUGCCUUGCUUCAAGCAUUGUCAAGGAAUGAUAUUGACUAUGCAACACCGAUUGCGAGGUGGCUAACGAUGCAACAGAACUAUGGUGGUGGGUUUCACUCGACGCAGGUAAAUGCUUGAGAUCACAACAGCAGGCAUUCAGAUAUUUCCAUUGAUCAUGUUACUAACUGGUGGUUGUUGCAGUUUGCAAUCAAACUGGACACUGCAUUUUCAUCUGCACGUUUGGUGCAUUGGCACAAAUUCCAGCUCUUCAAUGGUGUUAAUCCUUGGUUAAAUUCUUACAUGCACUUUGUCUGUGCAUCAGUUUUCCUUUUGGCAUUGUCCUUGAAAAGUACCUGUUUGUGCAAACCUUCACUUACUUGUCAUAGGAUCAUUGAGGGACAGCAUAAUAGAGUGCUAUGGCAAUGGAACAGACCCUUCAGCAAAUUGUAUGUGCCCUCACAAGAUGCGA